GGACAGAGCAAAACUCCGUCUCAAAAAAAAAAAAAUAAUAAUAAUAAUAAUAAAUAACUUGAGCACAUGUUAAGAAAUAUUAAAAACAUAUAUGUAUUGUGCUGUGAAAUAGUUCUGUUAUGUAAGUGGUGGGAAAGGAGGCUAAAAAGUACAGUCUUGGGUUAUUUCUUCGAAUACUAUGUGUGGAAGACUCUAUUGGCAAUCUACCCCAAAUCCAUUUCAAACUGUUUUUCUUAUAAGUGGAACCCCAUUUUUGUUCACUGAAAUGAUGUACCCAAGAAAAAUGUACAGUUUCAAGACUUUGGGGGGUGGCCAUGCUACACAAUUUUUUUGUGUUUUCUUUAUGUAUUUGAACAAACAUUUCUUACUAUUUUUCCUAAGUUAGGCACUGGAGAUACGGUAAUAAAAUAAAACAAAAAGAACAGACACAGUCUCUGAUGUGGAUAAACUUAAUUUUCUAACGGAGCAAAGGGAUGACACUCAACACAUCAGAAAAAGAACCACACAAAAUAUAUAAUAUGGUAUAUGGUGAUAAGUAACCUGGAAAGAAUAUCAAACAGGAAAAAAUGUUUUACUUUUAAAUAGUGUGAUCAAUGAGAGUGGGCCUCACUGAAAAGAGAACAUUUGGUCAAAGACUUAAAGGUUUCUCAGUGAAAUGUGAAGCAAGGUCAUCAGCUGAAAGUGAAGAUGUGGUGUGGAGGCAUGGAGGCUUAAGGAGACACAAUAUGAAAUAGUCCUUGGGCAGUGGAGAAAGGAAUGCAGCAGGAACGAUUGCUGGGCAGCAUGCAGACCUCCUCCAUUCUUUCUUGCAUAAAUUGUAGAUGCAGUGAUGAAGACUAUAGCAAGCUUGCAAUCACACCAAAACAAAUGUGAAAACAAAAGCUUCAUAUGAAUGAACAGAAAAGAAACUUUAAUUUCUUUCAUGUUUUGGAGCCAUUCUACUUUUCCUUUACUAACUUCUGACUUCAUGAUAUGUGGAAAAAAACAUUAUUUUAUUAAUCCUUAAUAGUCAGGUAUCAGUUUUAUGUGCUCUUAAACUAUCCUAACAUAUACUUCACAUUUGGACUUAUUUGUUAGAUGAAGGGGAGCCACUGAAGUUUUUGAAGACAAAUAUGACAUGACUAGUACUGAGAUUUAGAAGAUGACUCUAAUGUGGCAGAUGGAUUUUCCCAAAGUAUACAUUACCUCUAUUCCUUGAUAACACUUUCUUUGGCUUUGCAUCAAAAGCCAUUUGCUACCUAAUGUAGAAGCUAUUACAGCUUGUGCCAAGAAGGAGAGUUAUUCAAUCAAAACUCAUUGAAAUGUGUUGUUAUCAGGCUGGUGUUUUCUGCUGUGAAAUUAUUAGGUGAAUGCAGUGGUGUCAAAGAUUGUUUGAGAACAAAUUGCUGUAGGCCUUCAAAUUUAUAAAAGUGGAGUUUAGAUUCCCACUGUGGAUUUUGGGCUCCCUGUCAAUGUUCUGAUGUAGACAACUGUCAGAGUGAGGAUAGGCUUUUAAAAUAAGAUAAAUUAUCUAUGUUCAUCUUUAAA